rnacentral:lncRNA from 1 species
CGUGAUUGUCUCACGGCUAUUAGUUGGUUCUUAGCAAGUAAGUCCUUUAAAGGCAAAUUCACCUCAUUUGAGUUUUGACCCAGUAGUUCAACAAUCAUGAAGUCCACAGUCUUAUUGGCAUAACUGUUGUACAGUGUCUCUAAGUCACUAUGCUCAUGGCUAAGAGCGAUGCAUAUUCCAUUUUUACAUUUUACUGGAAUUUUACAUGUUCAAUUCAUGAUUUAAAACCUCUAGGAUUUCAAUCCUCGAAACUGUCUGAAGACACAGUGUGCCACAGACUUAAGACUUCUGUUUUUCCCUCUAUUUUCUUCAAACAGAAACACUUCUCAAAGUGUCUACAUGUCCUAGAAGGGGAAUUUUUCGGAGUUGGCCUCUUCUUCGGAAUAGUCCGACGGCAUCAGGCCUCUGAAGCAAGGGGGA